rnacentral:rRNA from 1 species
UACAGAGGGUGCAAGCGUUAAUCGGAAUUACUGGGCGUAAAGCGUGCGUAGACGGUUACAUAAGUCGGGUGUGAAAGCCCCGGGCUCAACCUGGGAACUGCAUCUGUGACUGCAUUGCUGGAGUGCGGCAGAGGGGGAUGGAAUUCCGCGUGUAGCAGUGAAAUGCGUAGAUAUGCGGAGGAACACCGAUGGCGAAGGCAAUCCCCUGGGCCUGCACUGACGCUCAUGCACGAAAGCGUGGGGAGCAAACAGG